GACGAACGCUGGCGGCGUGCUUAACACAUGCAAGUCGAACGGAAAGGCCCUGCUUUUGUGGGGUGCCCGAGUGGCGAACGGGUGAGUAACACGUGAGUAACCUGCCCUUGACUUUGGGAUAACUUCAGGAAACUGGGGCUACUACCGGAUAGGAGCCCCUGCUGCAUGGUGGGGGUUGGAAAGUUUCUGCGGUUGGGGAUGGACUGGCGGCUUAUCGGCUUGUUGGUGGGGUAGUGGCAUACCCAGGGUUUGAACGGUAGGCGGCCUGUGAGGGUGACCGGCGACAUGGGGACUGAGAGACGGCCCAGAGUCCUACGGGAGGCAGUGGUGGGAAGUAUUGCACAGUGAGCGGAAGCCUGAUGCGGCGGCGCCGCGGGCGUGAUGACGGCCUUCGGGGUGUAAACCGCAGUCGCCUAUUACGAAGCUGGAGUGACGGUAAUGGGUAAAGAAGCACCGGCUAACUACGUG
rnacentral:rRNA from 1 species